UACGAAGGGGGCUAGCGUUGUUCGGAAUUACUGGGCGUAAAGCGCACGUAGGCGGAUCAGCAAGUUAGGGGUGAAAUCCCGGGGCUCAACCCCGGAACUGCCUUUAAAACUGUUGGUCUGGAGGUCGAGAGAGGUGAGUGGAAUUCCGAGUGUAGAGGUGAAAUUCGUAGAUAUUCGGAGGAACACCAGUGGCGAAGGCGGCUCACUGGCUCGAUACUGACGCUGAGGUGCGAAAGCGUGGGGAGCAAACAGG
rnacentral:rRNA from 1 species